ACCUACGGGGGGCAGCAGUAGGGAAUUUUCGUCAAUGGGCGCGAGCCUGAACGAGCAAUGCCGCGUGAACGAGGAAGGUCUUCGGAUCGUAAAGUUCUGUUGAAGGGGAAAAAGAGCGGAGAGAGGAAAUGGUCUCCGAUUGAUAUUACCCUUCGAGGAAGUCACGGCUAACUACGUGCCAGCAGCCGCGGUAAUACGUAGGUGGCGAGCGUUAUCCGGAAUGAUUGGGCGUAAAGGGUGCGUAGGCGGCCUGCUAAGUCUGGAGUGAAAGGUACCGGCUCAACCGGUACAGGCUCUGGAAACUG
rnacentral:rRNA from 1 species